AACAAACGCUGGCGGCGUGCCUAAUACAUGCAAGUCGAACGGUGAAAGCUUUCGGGUGAGUACUAGUGGCGCACGGGUGAGGAACGCGUGGAUAAUCUGCCUUAGAGUGGGGGAUAACUAGUCGAAAGAUUAGCUAAUACCGCAUAAGACCACAGGAGCUGCGGCUCAAGGGGUCAAAGGUUUUUCGCUCUAAGAUGAGUCCGCGUAAGAUUAGCUAGUUGGUGAGGUAACGGCUCACCAAGGCGACGAUCUUUAACUGGUCUGAGAGGAUGAUCAGUCACACCGUAACUGAGACACGUGCCAGACUCCUACGGGAGGCAGCAGUAGGGAAUAUUGCUCAAUGGAGGAAACUCUGAUGCAGCGACGCCGCGUGAGUGAUGAAGGCCUUCGGGUCGUAAAGCUCUGUCGCAGGGGAAUAACACAAUGAAUGUACCCUGUAAGAAAGGAUCGGCUAACUUCGUGCCAGCCGCCGCAGUAACAC
rnacentral:rRNA from 1 species